rnacentral:rRNA from 1 species
AACGAACGCUGGCGGCAGGCCUAACACAUGCAAGUCGAACGCUCCGCAAGGGGGAGUGGCGCACGGGUGAGUAACACGUGGGAACCUACCUUCUGGUACGGAACAACCAAGGGAAACUUUGGCUAAGACCGUAUACGACCUCCGGGUGAAAGAUUGAUCGCCGGAAGAGGGGCCCGCGUCCGAUUAGGUAGUUGGUGAGGUAACGGCUCACCAAGCCUUCGAUCGGUAGCUGGUCUGAGAGGAUGACCAGCCACACUGGGACUGAGACACGGCCCAGACUCCUACGGGAGGCAGCAGUGGGGAAUAUUGGACAAUGGGCGCAAGCCUGAUCCAGCCAUGCCGCGUGAGUGAUGAAGGCCUUCGGUUG